UACGAAGGGGGCUAGCGUUGCUCGGAAUCACUGGGCGUAAAGCGCACGUAGGCGGAUUGUUAAGUCAGGGGUGAAAUCCUGGAGCUCAACUCCAGAACUGCCUUUGAUACUGAGAGCCUUGAGUCCGGAAGAGGUAAGUGGAACUGCGAGUGUAGAGGUGAAAUUCGUAGAUAUUCGCAAGAACACCAGUGGCGAAGGCGGCUUACUGGUCCGGUACUGACGCUGAGGUGCGAAAAGCGUGGGGAGCAAACAGG
rnacentral:rRNA from 1 species